rnacentral:rRNA from 1 species
UGCAAGUCGAACGGUAGCACAGAGAGCUUGCUCUCGGGUGACGAGUGGCGGACGGGUGAGUAAUGUCUGGGAAACUGCCUGAUGGAGGGGGAUAACUACUGGAAACGGUAGCUAAUACCGCAUAACGUCGCAAGACCAAAGAGGGGGACCUUCGGGCCUCUUGCCAUCAGAUGUGCCCAGAUGGGAUUAGCUAGUAGGUGGGGUAACGGCUCACCUAGGCGACGAUCCCUAGCUGGUCUGAGAGGAUGACCAGCCACACUGGAACUGAGACACGGUCCAGACUCCUACGGGAGGCAGCAGUGGGGAAUAUUGCACAAUGGGCGCAAGCCUGAUGCAGCCAUGCCGCGUGUAUGAAGAAGGCCUUCGGGUUGUAAAGUACUUUCAGCGGGGAGGAAGGUGUUGUGGUUAAUAACCACAGCAAUUGACGUUACCCGCAGAAGAAGCA